rnacentral:rRNA from 1 species
GACGAACGCUGGCGGCGUGCCUAAUACAUGCACUUCGAGCGAAGCGGCGGAUGGGUGAGUAACGCAUGGGUAACCUGCCCUUAAGUCUGGGAUACCAUUUGGAAACAGAUGCUAAUACCGGAUACUAAAGUAUGUACCUUCGAUGCAUUAUCUAGUUGGUAAGGUAACGGCUUACAAAGGCGAUGAUGCAUAGCCGAGUGUAGAGACUGACCGGCCACAUUGGGAAUGAGACACGGCCCAAACUCCUACGGGAGGCAUCAGUAGGGAAUCUUCCAAAAUGGACGAAAGUCUGAUGGAGCAACGCCGCGUGAGUGAAGAAGGUUUUCGGAUCGUAAAGCUCUGUUGUUGGUGAAGCGGUAAUCAACCAGAAAGUCACGGCUAACUACGUGCCAGCAGCCGCGGUAAUUC